rnacentral:tRNA from 1 species
GCGGUUGUGAUGAAAUUGGUAACCAUGUACGCUUGAGGAGCGUAUGGCUUUAUGCCUUACGAGUUCGAGUCUCGUCAUCCGCA